rnacentral:lncRNA from 1 species
CUCUCUCUCUCUCUCUCUCUCUCUUUCUCUCUGUUUUUAUGGUAGCUUCGUCUCUGAGACGGUAAGAGUGAAAGAGAGAGGAACGCUGCGCGGUUACCGUCACGAUGCAAUAAAUCGACUUUGCAAUAAUUACAACCUUUCCACCGUGCGGCCGCCCGCAACAAUGUCGUACAGCUUUCUGUUUGCUUAAAUACUGCGACAAGCGCGCCUGUUGGGACCCACCAGGACGACAGUGCGACCACUCGUUCGUUGGCUUGGAGCGUGCAGAGAAAGAGCCGCUCUCGUGAUACGAAAACUAUAAUUUACCGGGAUUUCUCUCUCCUCCCCCUCCCUCCGUUUCCCUUCCCCGAAGAGAACCGCGGUUUACGCGUCACGAGGUCCGCAACGUUCGGGUCAUUUUGUACCAGCGAUGCGGAUUCCGCGUAGCCGCUUACGGAUCAAGGGAUUGACCGAGGGACUCUCGCGAGGACUCUAACGAGGCGUCCCAGUUCGAAACUCUCGCGCUUUGCACGCGAGCGUCCGGCCCCGAGUAUCGGCGCCGCGCGCGAGUAUCACCUCGUGCUCGCUUCUACAAGUUCGUGGAAACGCGAUGAGCCGACGAGGAAGCAUGAGAAUCGGUAGAUAAGGACGGAGGAGGCGUAAAGAAGGAGCUUCGUGUCGGGAUCGGUGGGAAUACCGCGAAGGAGCCCUAACGGCAGCGUAACGAUCGAAUUAUGCGUUUCGCACGAAACACUCCGAGAAACCGCCCCGUUUGUGAUCCACGGGACAUGGGAACAGCGCGUACAUCAUCCUCUCUCCCUAAAGAUACCUUCGAUAACGUUCGUUCGAACAUUCGGAUUUGCCCAUAAAAAUUCCUAUACAAAGCACGUUCAUGGAUAUAGCGCCUUUAUGAGCGGAAAUUAGAAUUCAAAGCUUCGGAUGCGCUUUAGAGAACAAAUACAUACAUGAUCACAACAUGUCUUUCUUAUCGCGUGCUCGUAUAUAUAUUUAAAGAUAUUGAUUUAUUGAGGUGGACAUUGCACUUUCUAUACAGUUAUCACUGCGAAAGGUGAUGUGAAAAAGACCAGUUGUCACUUCAAGCUGUAUGCAAGUUCUAGACGAAGCGGAAAAGGAUUGUCGCGUCCGCGACCAUGAACCAAGGAUCAUCCUCCGCUACCCAUACGUACCGCUAUCCACAAGUCGUAACACAUCCGGAGCACCCUAAGAGACAUUAAGGGUUCCUCGCCGGAGGUUACCGAACUUUGCGGUAGCAGACAAAAACUGAGGAAUUUGCAAAAAUGAACAAUUAUAGGAAUCCAGAGUAGUCGCGUCCCUCUGGGUGUCCACCCUCCGUCUCGCGUCUCCGUCUCUCGCCCCCUCGUCACAACGUGCUCUCAGGUCUCCCCGGCCUACCUCGCCGGCAGGGGGGAGGACGCAUGCGCGGGUCGUUUGAAGUGGCGGCGUCCCCGUGCUUUCGCUCUCUCGGGUUUCUUUACUGUCGCCUACCUCUACCUUCUUCCCUCCGUUCUAGCUCGCGCACCGCGACAGCCACGGCCGGCCCUUUCGGUAUUCGUUUGUUUCAUGGCGGCUCCCUUCGUGCCCGUUGACGAUCCUUUUCCCUCUGUCUCUCUUUCUCUUUCAGAUCGCGGCGAUCUCCUUUCGCCCUUCUCGGUCUCUUGCGCUCUCUUCCUCCUUUCCAUUGCCGCGCUUUGAGGCCCUACGUACGGCAUAGUUGCGGCAUUGCUCCGGGCCUGGGCAUCGUUUUAUAACCUUGUCCAGCCUUCGUGGGGAGGUACAGACCUCCGAAGGUGUUCACCUAGCCUUCACUCAUCUGGAGGAUAUCUUGAAGAUCGUAGCGUGUAACACUGAUAUCAGGCGUUUCUAUGCACGUUUCAAAGUAUAUAAAUUGAAUUUUGAAAAUUAUUUUUAUUACAUGACUCUCGUGUCGCUCUGAUUGCUUCGAAUCUUGGAAAUGAAAGUAAGCGAAUCUCUAGAAAUAACAACAGACACAUGUUUACCGAUGCAGACAGCUUUUUGCAGCGAUACCUGGCACGUUCUCCAUCGCGAAUGGCAGAGGAUGGAUUGCGCAAUUUUUCCGCAUGACGUUGAAUUUAACCGUGAGAAUUUCCGUGAGGCGAGGCGCGGCCUUGAUCGAUCAGCCGCAUCGAUCACUCGUAUCACCACUCGCACUGCUCUCUUUUAUCACGCGGAACAACAUAUCUGAGUAAAUGAGAAUCACGCGGCUGAAACUCUUUGAACUCAUGCGGUCAGUCUCACCGACCUCGACCUCCCGGAAGGUAUGACGGCACGUCAAAAGGAAAGAGACCAGGAGAGAAGCCGUUUGGCGCAAAACGACGAGAGUCACGUAAGAGAAAAGAAAUCCAAGGAGACGAUGCUCGGGAAAAGAACUUGCGGGCAUGCACAGUGGUCCCCAGGUAGACGACGCGGUUCGAUUGUGAAAACAGAGUAUCUCAUCGAUAUAUAUAUGUCUCCCCUCUUUCUCGCUCCCUUCCCACAUUUUUCGCAUUCUCCGCAGAACCAAAGAUGCAACAAGAAUACGUAGAUCGACGUGCUCGUCGUGCGCGAGUUUCGCUCAAUCGUACACUUGGUGUGUGCUUGGAUCAGAAUUUUCAGUCAUGUCCGCCAAUCUUCGUAAUUUUUACUUACAACGUCCUCUAAAAUGAACGAUGCGAGGAAACGUUUAUCGAUUUUGAUAUAUUAUUGUCGAAAUGAUUAAUUUCUAUUUCAAAACUAUUCAAAUAAUUUUCCGUCCACUGGAGGUAGUAGCUGUUUUGGACAGCCGAGGUAAUGGCUACUUCAAGUUUCAAUAGAAAGGAUCUGAAGACAAUAUAAUUAGUGCACUUUCUCCUUAGUAAUCACUUGCAAGUGCAAGGUUCUCAACACGAUGCUGAACAACGUGCCCAUGUCGGCACUCCGGCGAGACAACUCAUUGACCCUAUGUCAACGGCAACGAGACGAGUACAUGAGAAGUACAGUUCUGCAUUACAUCGUGAAGUCGCGCCGACGCGUAAAUAACAACGGGGAGGGAUCGCAUUACAUUUUGACCAAUCUAUUACACCUCUCGUCGGAGAUGGUCCGAAACGGAAUAUUUCGUCGUGUUUGCUGAUGCAUCAGCAAAUUGCCUGUCACUGCGAGUAUCCGGCGCGAUGAUAAGACUAUUCUUCAACCCUGCGAGACAAGUUGUUGAGUCGCUGCGGCGUCGAUCCUUCUUUCGUGGAAGUCCCGAGGAAGAUUUCGUCGCCUUCGGCGAGAUCGCGGGUCAGCUGAGGACGAAGGGGUUAAGUCGGGGUUAGUCUGCUAUAUAAAAGAGUCGGAUGGAAGGCCGAAGGUUCAUUUUGUAUUCGGGCUGCGCAUGUGCCAGUUGUCACCGCUGACACAUCGUACGUCAAUCCGUUUCUGCACACAAAGCUGCGGAAGAAUAAAAAGAAAGGGGUGCCGCUGGUACUCCAGGGACGUCUCAAUCGGCAUUGCCGAUCGAUCGCCGGACGUUUUCUUCUACCUAUUGCCUUCCAGAUCCGCGCGGCCGGCUGUUCUCAAAGACCUCUUCGACGGAAUUCAUCGCUUCGCACGCUUACGCAAGCCAUUUGUUAUUGCCCACAUUUGUUGCGUGUUCCCCAACUAUCCGUGCGUGGAUUCUAAACGGCCCACGCCGACAUUGACUGAUCGUUGAUACAAUAAAAUUCCCAGAAGGAGAAUAUCCAGAAACAGAAAAUACGUGCCCAGCACUAUUUGUUAAUAAAUUAUUUAAUUAUCGAACUCGCACGCAACUUUAAAUUUCUCGACAUUUAGUCCCAAUGCAGCCACACGAGAGCCUUUAAGUUUGACUCAUCUAAUAUAAUAUCUAAUGCGGCACUAUCUUCGUCUCGUCUUCGUUAGAUAACGUAACCGUCAAUCAUCGGCACGCCUGAUUGCCCUGCAGCGACCGAUAUCGUGGCGUCUCCGGUUACAACUGUGCGGACGCGAGAGGAAUACCGCCGUGUCACUUCAUCGUACAUAGUUGCACCGUGAUUAUAACUUCAGAUGCGGCUCUGAAAGAAAGGAUUUUAAUGCCACGUCAAAAUCAGCCACGCUCACAGUUUGCCGAUGCUAUCAACCAGCUGCCGCAAGUUGAGUGUGUGCCCACCAAGCACGCACGGUUCCCGAGGCCCCUGCACACACAUAUACACCGCUUGCGCGUUUUUCUUUUUUAUUUAUGUAAUCUCUAACUCUCAUUUGCUGUUUCAUGAAAGAUGUAACACGUUGAUGCGCGCGCCUACUAUAUCUCUAAGUAAGAAGAAGGUGGAGGUCGGAGUGGAUCGCCUUGGAGCCCGAGAGGCGCCCCGCCCAUCGUCUCGUCUUUGCUCGGAGCCCUUGCGUUUUGUAUUCUUCCUCCAAAACCGUAGGAUCGAGGCCCCACGUUAAGCCGGCCUUACACGUACUCGAAAUGCCCGUGAAUCCCUGUACAGUAUUAAAUGAUAGUGCCGGACUAAUUAACAAUUAAGUUUUCGUUUUACGAAGAGGAUUUCUUAAAUCCGUCACACGCUUAUGCGCUCUCCACGUGAGUUCAGGUCUUUAUACUUUCAUAGUGAAAGAAUUAUUAUAUCAGAAUUGAAAUAUAUAAAUUUAAAAUAAUAUAUUUCUUAUCAUGCAAACCGCUUCUUUGUGUCAAAUCCUUUUCUCUUCUCUUUCUUAUUCUUUUCUCAAAUUAUUCUCACCAUGUUUUGGUUGAAGAUAGUUGAAGACGUCUUACAAAGUAGCAAAUACAUAUAAUGAUAGAUCAUUGUUUAGCACUCUGUAAUCAAACUCGUUAACUCAUGAAAACUGUACAUUAAUGACAAUUUCCUAGACAGUUACAUUUAAUUCAUCGUUAUCGUGUUUUUCCUACUUGUAUCGUGAUAUGAAAAUUGUACGAGUAGUACUGUGUGCAAGGCUUAAAGGUCUAUAGCCUUACACUUCGAUAUCAUACUAUUCGCGUUUGGAAGCGCGCGUAAACCACACCACGGACCGACCGCGAUCCAUUCAGCGCAAGAUCCUGUGGAGCCUAUCAGAUGCCCUUUGUCGAUCGAUCCUCUUUGUAGAUCGGCCCGCGGCAGGUACUAUCGUGUUACCUUUCAGAAGAUAUAUACGAAUACGAUGACGGCGGUAUACGUAGCCCUAAUUUGUACUGCGGACAUGGUAGUCCAAAUAUUACGAAUUACGACACGAUAAUAAUUAUCGGCGCAGUAGAUUUUUCCUCUAUGCUAUAUUGGCAACUUUAAAAUAGCUUAACAAAGUGCAAUAAAUUCUGCUCCAAUUUAAGUAAUGCAUGUUAAAUCUUGUAUUUGACAUAAAUAAUAUCCUUACAAUUUCGUAUGAUGCAUUACUGACAAAUAUUAAUCACUAAUCUUUAUUGGUAUAUUAAAAGAUACGCGAUUUUGCUUUAUAUAAAUUCGCGUAAUCGAAUCGUUUCGCAUGUUUUUUGUACGCGUAUCUAUAUUCUUAUGUAUAUUCUUAUAUUAUAUAUUUAUACGCAUUUUUGUGAUGAUUUUUAGUUCAAUCCGUAAUAACUGCAAAGUGUUACGAACAGCAAUAUUCUGGUGCAGCAUAGAUAAGAAAAAUUCGCGUAUCGAGUUCAACCAAAGUGAUGUCGGUUUCACGGAUCGUUAAUAUCGCCGUUACGACACGGGACUGGUAAUGGUUGCGUGCAAAAACAUCUCACCGAGAACAUUUAAUUUAGCAUAAUUCAGCGGCGCUUUCGCGGGACAUUGGACAGACGAAUGAAAAAUAUCGGUGAUACGAGUCGAUCAACGUGCAACGCUCAAUGGGUGGUCCAUUUUCUUGUGCUUUCAUCUGAUUAUCAGUAUUAGCAAAAAGUUACGGCGGGAACACCGGUGCUGCGUAACAUUGCUUUCAAAUAGUUUAUGCAUAAUUCGCAUACUUGUACGUAGAAAUUUUAUUCUUUAGUGCGAUUCAUGAUUCUUUAUAUAGAAGUUGAAGGAAGAGGUACGAAUCAUAAAAUAGUACUGCUAAUGUCGUCUUACUUAUAUCGUCAUCCUCUUGUAAUAUAAUGUCACGUAGUAAAUGACGUCAGAUAGCACAGCGCAUGUCUUUGACCGACGCAAUUUGCCUUACCUUGUACGUCGAAGCUUGAAACGCAUUACUCUAGAAAAUAUCCGGGAUGAUAAAAAUAUCCCUAUAUAUGUUGCACCCCGUGUAUGAAUUUUAUACUGCCCACCUGCGCUUCCUACCGUACGCUAGUCGUAUCUUGAGUAAUGCAACUUUCCCUGUUGUAGCCGUAACUUUUUCAACUAACGUUCCUCCGCAACGGCAGUUAUAGGCAGUUGGCUGCUUCUAUAGCUAUGACUAUCUUUGCGAACCUGGAAUAUGAACCUCUCUUAUAAAUCGAUAUAUAUCUAUGGAAAAAUGCUGGAUAUUUUUGCUAUAAUUUUCAAAGAGACAGGAAUUCUUCAAUCUAUACCAUUCAUUUUUGAAGCUAAACCAUAAUAAUGAUUCAAUCAAGAUUAGAUCAAUUCAAGGAUUCGUCGAUUUGUCUUGAAAUCACAAGACUAGCUAUAUACGUAAACUGUAACACGAAAACUCUUUUUUAUAAAUUAUUGCUGUUUAAGAGCGGAAUUUGGAGUUCUCCAAAUCUUUCCGGGGAAUGUGAAUAUAUACCGUGCCGUGCGAAGUUAGUUGGCCGUUCAAAUAGCAAGGCUUUCGCCUACGAUGACGAGGAUCGAUAUCCGCGCGGUUGACGAUUAGAACUUUCUUUCAUUGCAACCCUUGCGCACCGGCAUGGCGUGCAACGACGAAACGAGGUCCCAGAUUCUUUGUUAUUAUUAACCUGUGCCAUACUAGGUCGAUACACCGACCAUGCCAGACUUAGACACCGCGUGCCGAUCUCUCGCGAUUGGUAGUGGCGUGUACACGCCAAUGACGCAAAUCUCUCAAACCUCGUACGUGGACUUGGUUCCUGCAAAGAAAAACUGUAAUAUACCAUUUUACUGUAACCGAUCGUACAGUGUAGCGAGAUUGUUGCUUGCUUGAAAGUCCAAUCUAAAUAAUACAAGAUCAUUUAAAGAAGGAAGUCUGAUAUCAUUUGUAGUGUGUCGUAUCUCGCGAACGUGGCCAUUACUCACACGAAAUAUCUUCAUUCUCAUAAUCACUCGCGUAUGCUCGCGAUUCUGAUUUGACCCGCGCGAUUAUCGCGUUCACGUGUUUGCAGUAAGAUUGCCAGUAAUGUAACACAAGGGGCAACGCCAGAAGCUACCAGAGAAAGACAUGGUGAUGCGGAGAGAAAAGAGGAAUGCGCUCACAAAGGCGGGACACCGCCAGCGCCAGUCGACCUACGUGCAGCCCGAUAGUCUAACGUCACUUUCAUAUCUACCCUCAUCUACAUAUGUGUCCACAUCAAGUAUCCUUGAGUUCAUACAUGCACAUACACAUCUAUGCAAUUCACCUUCUUGCGGCGGGCUCUAGAGGGUUGAACAAGGAGCCAGAAGUUCCGUACAAACGUCUUUCUCAUUUAGGAUGCAAUUCUUGCGCAAAACGAGGAUUCUCGCGUGCCCUUCUGUCCGUUUUCUCGUCGGUAAAGAAGAAUACCACAACUCCUGACCGUGGCGGUCGCGACCGCCACCACCGCAGCCGCUUUUAACCCUCGAGGUAAUUUCGCUGUUUUGUCAAGACGGACACGACAGGUUGUACGCGGGGCCCCUCGAAGAAUCCUUCCUUCCUCUUCUUGACGGUUCCCCGGGCGACCCUUCUUCGUCAGGGUUAGCCUAGCGGAACCGUAGAAACAUACGGCGGCUGUGGGAAAUAAUGACAGGGCCCUUUGCGCGCCCGUUCGCCUGCUCGUCAUCGACCAGGCCUGACAAGCAGAUCCGGAAGCGAGGCGAAAAUUUUUCAUCACGAAAUCACCUCGUCUCUGCGAGCGCGCGGACGAACGCAUGGUCGCACGCCUCGCAGCCAUUCGAGGGACCAGGGACUGACUACUUCCUGUCGAGUCGGUCAAGAGUCGCCCAAAGACUGCGCCCUGCCGACUGAACCGUGAAGUCGCGACUUGGAACAGCAGCGUGAGUUCUCCACGCGAGACGAAGUGGGAGGAAGGGAUAAAUGGGGCCGGAAGAGAAGAACUUUCUUUUUGGGGAAGCAUUCGCGAUCCUGCGGCUUGCGCGCGAAUCGAUUACGCGCUUUCUUUCGUGAGAAUUCUGUGCCUGUUGAAAGCAGUUACGAACGUACUAUAAGACGUUCAAAUAAAUAUAAUAUAGCAAUAUUAUUGGCUCUUUUCGUCCACAGGUUGAUCAGCGUAUCUGUACAGUGAUACGUCAUCGUUGUCGCGACAGUGACACUUACGCACAGAAAUCGAAAGAGCGACGUUCGAAAGGGGUGGUUACGUCUUCCUUCCGCUCCUGGGUGCGCGCGAUGUGCGCGGUAUUAGAUUACGGAUCGCAUAAAUAUUCAUAGGAUACUGGACUCGAGGUGUAGGUGAGUCUAAGAGGUGAAAGAGCGAGAAGGCGAGUGCUCCGAAACGAGAGAAAAGAGAGUAGGAAAAGAAAGAAAGAGAAAGAGAGAGACAAACGAACGGAGAGUAACGCGAGGAAGAAUGGCCAUGGUCGAGUGGUGGAAUGGAGCUAGACAUGAGAAUGAUAGAGCGAGAGGGAAGAGAGGUGAGGGAGACGGAGAGAGAGUAAGAUUGAGAACGGGCGGGCGAUAUUAACGGGAAGUUUAAUCGUCGGCCGGUCCGGUCUGUCAGCUCGGACGCGCGCCGGGUCAGUCGGGCCCCCGAGGUCAAUUAGUGCUGUUCAACACUCUCCGUUCUCUUCGACCUCCGAAAACGAGGCGAGUCUAACGCGAGUCUCUCCGGUGCCCGUUCACGCUGAUGACGCGUCGAUCUUUUCACUCCGCAACGCAAAGCGGCAGGUGUCCCUCCGGUCCGCUUAAUGCGAUUCCCGGGGGAGAACGAGGUUUCCGUUGGCAGGGUGCUUAAAGUUACCUACUAGUAUUUUUCCCGAAUAAAUUCCAGCGAGAUUGACCGCCCCGAUUUACUUUCCCGCUGGAUAGUGAAAAGCGGUCCCGCGUAAUCUGCAAUUAUGUGCGACGGGUGUAAUAUCAUUUUGCUAAAUCAUCGUAAUGAUUAGUCUCCGCAUCGUGACGACUGGCUAUAUCAGAUCUUGUCUCUCGAUAACUUUAUUAUAAAAUAUUAAUUGCGUGCCAUUUAUAUCCUGCGUUAAAUGCGCAUAAAUCAGAGCGUGUCACGAGUUUGAUAAGCAAUCACUUUUUACGGCAACUGCCUCGAAAAUUCUAAAUAUCCUGUAUAAAAAAAGGUAAAUGAUCUGUCGCAAAAUUCAGCGCAGAAAGUGCAGAGAUGCAAUCUCGAUUCUCAACGAGGCGUAGCGGCGUUUCUAGAGGGAAAUUUUACGCGCUGCAAUGCAUCCGAGUUCCCUUUUCGUUCUGCGGCCUCCAUCGCUUUCUCGGAAUUUUUUUCAUAUACAAUCGCGAUCGAAAUGAAGUACAUUGCUUUGACGCAAUUCUUUUUCCUUGGCCUCCAUGGCGAAUCACCGUUCCGACUUUUCAUGGGAAGAAAAAAAACGCUCGCCCGAGCGCGCGCAUUAUGCGGCGCAUUAUGCAGAUUCCUCGUGCUGCUUGAGGCACCAUUCCGCGUUUCCCGCGAGACCAUUGCUGAAUGGAUACCGACAAUAAUAAUAGUCGCAACACGCGUAGUAGUCCCAGGCGCGAUGUAACUUUCCGUUACCAGACAAUGGACUGAUACUAAAGUAUCUCGAUAAAAUCUCCAUUACGACCAAAGACUAACCUGCAUCCGAUAUAAAUACCUCUCCGUUAUGCAAUUCGUAUAAAAAAUUUAAUGUCUAUCCUAGUGCGUCCGCGUGACGCAACCGAGGUGGCGUACGCGCGCGCUUCGAUUGAUUCAUAAUUACGAGACUCCGCGAUGGCGCAUCACGACGCAUUAUCUUUCCCCAAGAAGAAAACUCCCUCGUGUAACAGACUCGUUCGCUCGCUCAAGCUCAUGUGCGCGUAUGCAGCGCGCGACUGCACACACGUUGCACCGCCGUGGCCUUCGGGCGUCAUUCACUCGCAGCGGCCGCCGUGCCGCCGGUCGCCAUCCACUUUCAUUAUGUGCGCGCUCGCGCUUGCGCGCGCGCACGUCUUUAAUUACAUUUUUGCAUCGCAACUGCCGAGAGAAAGAAAGACGGGCCGGGGUACCGGGGGGAGCGGGGGUACCGCCGGAGCCGAGGGAAGAACAAGAAGAAGAGAUACACGCGGGCGAUCCAUCUGAGAAAUUGUUGCGCGGACGUGACGAGGAGUCCGGUUGCGGCAGGAAGAGCCUGGCCGAUCGCGCGCUCUAAUUUUAUUACUUGGAAAUCGGUGAGAUCGAGCGGCCGAUCGUUGCCUCUCGGUCGUUUCGUUCUUUUAUUAUCCGGCAUGCGGAUUCGUGUAAACAGAUCGCCGGUCGAUGAACCGUGAACGAGUCGUGACUAUUUUAUUCGAUUCCUCCCCGCGUAUGACCACGUGUAAUCGUCGUCCCUCGUAUCUCGAGAACGAUCGCUGAAAAAGGAUAUCGAUCUCUAAACGCGAUGAUUAAUUUUACUAUCAGAUAAAUAUCAUCGAUUGCACGUGUCGGCGUUGAGCGAUGAAAGUAAUCGAUGGAAAAUGUCAGAUAUGCAUUUAAUUACCGCUGAUUGAGGGAUCGAGGGGAGUAAUCAGCAUACGAGUUGAGAUUUAGAUGAGGCAAAAGGAGUUCUCCGCGAUUAAGCAGUCUUUUAUUUGCGAAUCUAUUUGCGAGUAGACGCAAGGGAACUGGAGUACUUGAGGAGUGCACGGCGAACGUGACUUCAUCCCUCAAAUUUCGAAAGUACAUGGUCCACUUUCGCGUAUAAUAUAAAUUACGCGCUUGUGACCAGGGAAAUAUUUGCAAAUAAGCGCGCGACCUCCGUGCAAAUGUGCUGCAAUGAUUAAUCGUCCGCGGUAGCCGGUUCCACGCCGGCUGUGCCAGGCGAGAAAUUAUCUUGAGCGAUUCUUCGACAGUUCGUUAGUUCGUACGGCUACUUCGCGGAAUUGGCCGCUUUUACCCGGCGACUUCCUUUCUCUUUAUGCUCCGAAGGCAAACGCGCGCGUUUUAAUCGCAUCGCGAUGGAAUCGCGCGCGAUCCAUGAAGUUAUAUCGCUCGAGAUCCGGGCGCGAUCGUACCUACAGGAAAAAUCGUACGAGCCGCUUGUCGACCACUACCGCCAAUCGCGAGGAGAUUGAUACUCUGUUUUCUAUGUUAAUACGAAACGCGACUUCCGUGUGUGAGUCGUGUAACAAGCGAAAAUGAUUAAUUGACUGAGGCAGUAAGACUCGCGGUGCCGGCGAUGAAUUCGAAAGGCUUCUUCCUGCUUCAACUGAACGUUCGAGCAAGUGCAUUCUCUUGCUCAAGUACAUCAAAGUAGUCUUCCUCGCAUAUCUUGUAAUUUCAUAGAAAUUUUUAUUGGAAUGUGGAUAUAAAUCCAUAAUCAUCAUAAAUACUAUAGUGUUUUAAACAUGAUUUUAAAUAUAAUGAAUAAUUAAAAUAAAAACUUGAAGGAAAGCUUAACAUUAAAUUGAAGAUCUAAUGCGAAUACUUGGAUUGAAUGAUACGCACAUUACUAGAAAGGUGAGAGGUAGUCGACUUCCGGUUUGACCUAUUGUUAGUGCACGCAUCCCUUUUGGGACGACUGGAUGAUGAUUAUUAGCCAUCAUUAAAGAGCGCAUACGUGUGCUUCUUUGUGUUAAGUGCUUAUUAACUCUAACUAGGCAGCACUGUAGAAUGCCGGCGUAUUAAUUCACGUAAUUUGCAAUCUUAGCGUGCCGCCGUUGCUUAUUUUCGAGGUGUAGCUUAGAAAGUAUUGGUGUAACUUAGAAAGCAUUACGACCAUCAUAUUUUACCCGCAAAAUUCAUUUGUCACAUAUUAGGAUUGACAGAUAACACUAACGAAAAAAGCUUUUGUUAUGCAGUACAAUUUAAUUAAGAAACAGUAAACUUGCAUAAUCCUUGAAGGCCACACUUUUAAGUUGUGCCUUUGAGUCACGACCUCAUUUCGCACGUAAUUCAACAAAGUAUCAGAGUUUAUCUAUCAGAAAAUCCAUAAUAGCGACUCUCAAUUCACAUGUACUAAUUCGCACCUACGGUGUCUCUGUGGCGCGACAGAAUCGACAGAAAAAAAGAUCGAGCGGUCGAGUGGCAAUCGCGUGCCACGUUCAAGCGCCAGUUCGCUCAAAGGAGGCGACCGAUCGCUAUAAAUAAUUAAUAAAGCCAUCAGCUGAGAUCCGCACGAUGCAUUUUCCAUCGAUCGGUCUGCCGCCGACUCCAUUUUGCCCCGGCGCGAUUCACGGCCGUCCGGAAUAUAAGUCGCGUACGAAUCCUAUGGUGAGCCCCGAUAGGUGAUCGCAAUCGUUCCAUUGAUCGCUGUUUACAUUCGACCGUAAACAAGACAUUAUGUAAUCCCCCGUGAGUACACUCUCAUACAUAAUUUACAAGCGCAGCUUCGCGUCCUUCCCCCACUAGUCGAUAUACGCCGCUCAUAUCCGCUCGCCCCUCCGCGCGAUUCCACGGCGAUUGCAUUCUUUGCCGCGCGUCCUCGAACUGUCUGUACUACCCUUAAGGUGGCGUCACACCGUUCGCGAAACGAAAUAAAUCAAUUUUACGAUACAUUCUCUGCAUUGCGUUCGGAAUUUAUUAACGCGUUCUCUUUGACUGCUGAUUGCUGUCUGAAUGACAGCUCUGCAAUUUAUGUUCAUGGGAUUAAAAGGUACUCUAGAGAAAGCAAAGGCGAACAAUCGUACUUGUAUUGAUGAUACGAAUUUUAGGAUCCUUGGAAAUUUUUGAAUUCUUUCUUUAUGAUUUUUUGGGAUGACACAAUCGAGUAAAAAAAGAUAUAAGCUUUCUAUUGCGUUUGUCGAAGGUUCGCGUCAAUUUAUUAUAAUUUUGUAUGAUUCUUGUUGGUACCGGUGCCAAAGCCAUGAGAAAUGCGGUGGAUGAGGUUGCAGCGCGCCGAAGUGCGCGGCGGCGCCGUUUGACCAGCGAUCUGUUUCAGUGAAAAGUAGCGAGAGGGGCCUCAUUCGCGCGGCCCUGAAGUACUGCCCACCUGACGUCACGCACCUGUUCUCUCUUUCUUUCCUUUUCUCCCCAUAGCUCGUCCUGAGAACCCACCCGGCCCCGACCCAUUAUAAGGCCCCGCAGGUUUUCUCUCGUCGCGGCGAUUUCAUGCCGCGAGAUUCGCGCCUCGUAUAAGGCGAGCCGGCAGCUCUUCUCCUUCCUUGUUCGACUCGUGUCUCGGGGUCUCGCCAGCUCAUUCGCAAUCGUAUAUCGAGUCUACGAAAAUAAUUUCAAUCGACAUUGAGAUUAUUCCAGAUAGAUAUACGACAUCUACAAAGUAGUCUACAAUUAUUUUUACGUUAACACGUCUCAUGUUGAUAUUUCACACACCUGUGCAUCGCGUUAAACUGCUCGUUUCAAGGUCGAUCUCAGAUCCCUUUCGCAACCCCAAGAGACAGGUAGUGCGACAUGUAGUAAUAACUGCAUACCGUUAUUUGACAUUAAUAAUAUAUCUAUUUAGCGCGUUUUCCUCGGCGCUACAGGGUGUACUGCUGAGUAAUCGCGUUUCUCGGUACGGCAACUAGAUGACGAUGACGAAUACGACAACGACGACGACGACACUUGGAACAUACGACAGGCAUGAAGGCAACAAUAACGCGGAGCGAGAGAGAUGCCGCGCGCGAGCAUUGCGUAAGAGUGCAGUUGCGGAUGCGACGCGUCAGAGGCUCCCUCGAGCGUGUCGGUCCAUCUUGGCUUCGCAGGUAGAAGGUUUUUCGCGUAUAUAUAAUCACAGUGCCACCUACGUCUUGUACGGAUUUUCCUUUCCGCAGCCUCCGCGACCCUCGGCCGCUCUCGGAGGAUACACGAAGUCACGCCUGUCUUCCUUCGGCCUUCGUUUCUCCCUACCUGCUCCUCUCGCCGCUGCAAAUUCUUUGUUGGGAAACUCGAGAAAUUAUUUCAGCCAUUGCUAUCUGCAUUGUCUCAUGCAAAAUAUGUUUAUGGGACACGGCGUCACGUGGCUCGGCGUCAUCCCUCGGAAAUUACCAUGUGAUUAUCACCGAUACAGUUUUAUAAAAUAUUAAUAGUAUAAAAGCCUCAUUUGGUUACUGAUCUUUACAUAUCUAUGCACAGGAGGCUAAUAAACGCAAAUUUUCUUAUAUUUAUAUUUAUAACUUUAUAAGACUCUUAUAAUACUCUCGUUUGAAGGACGGAAUGAGGGUAUUAUCUACCAUUGUUCAUCGGUAUAUUAUACAUACAGAUAUGUACGGAUGUCGAUAUCCUAUUGGCAUCGGUAAAAUCCACUCGAGCGUAUACCCGCAGCUUCGAAGAUAUCGGCACAUCAAAACCGGAUGACCCAUUUUUUCUCUUAUUAGCGCACACCAACAUAAUCGAUCUUAAAGGAAUGAAACGGUACGUUGCCAGCUUGUGCAGAGUUCCAGCGCCAACACCUGCCGGAAUUAAACGAUCCUCAGGCCGGCAUAGUUGCGUCUUAUUCGACAUAUAGGUAGCCAGUUCGACCGAGAUAGACGGUAUUAUCAGGUCCAAUAACGUGCAAGCGGGCGCGUUGUUAUUAACGACGUUGCGUGUCAUGGUGCUGGAGAACAUGAACGGAGUACGUGGAAAAAGUACCAGCAGCUACAGGUGGUUUUAAGAGAGCGUGUUACAUCUUCGUCUUGGCUACCGAUCGUUCUCGCGUUCCUUUUCUUCUUUUAUUCAAAGGCCUUAUUCCCCCGGUCAUAAUAGUCUUAUAUUUGUACAUUUUAUAGAAAUAUAUGCAUUUCGAAUUACAGAAUUCCUAUUUCAGGUAUAUCAAUUGAGUAAAGUGAAUGAAUUUAAAGAAAUAUUUGUGCACCAGGCGACAAUAUAGAAUUUAGAAAAUUUGAAUAAAUUUAAGUAUUGAGUUUAAAUGAAUAAACGGAUAAACGUGAAAAUAGAGAAGGAAAGUGCAUAUUUGUGGUGAAAUAAUUAAUCAGAUAUUGCUGGCUCGAUUUCCGUGCAAGAAGGAAGGGACUUUUUUAGCUUUUUCCAUUGCAUCGAGUAUAAUAGAUCACUUCUUGCAUAUACACUCUUAUGUUCCGGAAUAAUUGUAAGUGAGAUCUGUAGAAGCAGGAUUCUAGUUCGUGCGGGACUAAUUCCCGAGUGAGACCUGAAAAACGCGGAAUAAUGCGGCGGCAUUGUGUGUAUGCGGUAUAAACUCCUGAAUGACUGGAAUCCUGGUACGGUCAUCAGAUUCAUCGAAUGAUGGAAAGUUAGGAAAACUAGUACGUGCUCUUUCAAGAAUCACUUAGGAUGCUAGUCAUAGUAGUGUGACUUGCAACGUCAACGACUGAUUAGUGCAUUGUCACCCUGAUAUGACAGCUCAAAGUCUUUGUUCUGCACUGUUACGUUAAUCUCUUUUUCUGCAAUUAUUAUAUAGAAUAUAACACUUUGAAAGAAGUACAAUCCAACUCUCCGUAUAUUGAUGGCGAACGCAUAGUGAAUUCAAUAAAUUAUAUUUAAACAUCUUUAAAGAUACAGACUAAUUUUAAUUAAAAAGUAUUGUUUCCGAUCCGAGAAAUUGAAACUGAAAAAAUCUUUUUUAGUUAAAAAUUAAGUAUUAAUUUUAUAAUAUGUUAUAUAUACACAUUUUAAAAAAUAUUUUGUUCAAGCCAACUGAGUUCUCUUAGAACGAAAUAACAGUUCCUACAACAUCUAGAGAUCAUCUGCAGGUUCUGACGUUCGAAAUGACGUAACAGGUCCGUAGCGUAGGUCGUCGAGGUGGCGAGCGCGUUAACGAACGAGUUGUCAGAUUUCUGUGAAAUAAUGGAUCCGCAAGGAGUCAUACGUCUCCGGCAAUUAGCGCGUGUGCGUGCAUCCUGUACGCACGGACGUACGCACACACGUUUAACUCGGGUCCGACUCUGAGAAGAAGAGAUUACGUAAGUCGCUGUGUCCCCGCUUCCACCACGACACACGUAGCGCGUGGUCUAUUCCGCUCUGUCCUCCGUUGUUUCCUCGUCUUUCUAUGGUCGGUUCGUCCCUCGAUCUGAAUCGCCACUAUACGCGAGCGGAGGCGUGCGACCGUGUGCGUGCGUGCGUACGUACGAACGCGCGCGGUUGCGUAAGGUCGCGGACGAACGACGCAUCCGGCCCUUUCGAGUCAUCGGGUGGGAAAGACCGGAAGUCCUUUGAUCGAAAACUAAUUCCGAAUGCAUGUUCGAAAGGAGCGACUGAUUAGACCGGCGCGGCGCCGAGAUUUUGUCGGCCCGCCUCGCCAUACGUGAAUACGGAAUUCGAAUACGCAACGAUCGCACAAAUUCUAUUUAGUCGUUUGCAUUCAACGGUAUCAUUGAGAAUUAUGUUAAAGUCCACAUUACAGCUUGUCAACGUUAAUAUUUCGUUUCUUAUCGCUAUUAAAUGCGCUAAUAUAACUAUUCAAGAUGAUAAAUUUAAAUUAUUGCACACACAAGAGAGCCAAUAAACAAGCGUGCAAAAAAGAGAGAGAAAGAGUUGUAUUUAUCGAGAAGAUCGGAGUGCAUGCUAUGCAUAACGAUUCAGCUUCCAGGCGAAUGCACGCGGGCAACGGUGCAUUUGCGCGUCACUUCCUGAGCUCCCGCUCGAUUCGCAUCGGCAGGGGGAUUAUCAUUUAUCUCGUUAGCGUCUCAAGUUUAUGCGGAGUUGUUAAAGCACGUUUAAUUCGCAGCACCUUUCUAAUCGCUUCCAAGUGUUGAAGUGCAUUUUCUCGCGAUCUCUUCCACCGACUUUUGAACAUCCGUUUACCCUCUUGCGUCUCGAUAAAGCGCCGCGAUAAAGCAGGAUUUCUCAGCAUCUGAUAUCAACAAAUGAUGGACAAGUAGUAUUAUUUAUGGCUGAUAUGCAACGGCUAGAUAACGUUUCAAUGAGAUGUUAAACAUAAAGUUCCAGUAAUGACAUCCGUGAUUUGGAUGACGUCUUACAUCGAACAAUGCAUUGAUAGUAAUGUCCGAUUAAAAAUUUAUCAGAAUCGCGUAAUCUGAAAACAUCAAACUCCUGUUAGUGAAGCGUUCUCGUGAAUGUUUAAUGAUUAUUUACGCGCGCCACACCGAACAAGUGCUUGGAAUCCUACUCGCGAUGCGGAAUUCAGGCAUGAUGAGGUAAGAAAGUGAGAGCAACACGCGUUAAGAAUAAACUGCGACAGUAACAUCAUUAAUGAAUAACGCGUCGCAUCGGCCACGUGUAGAAAAAUGCGCAUAAUGAAACGAACGCGACACUAUCGAUCGCCAGUGCAUCCGUCGCAGUAAAGUGCACACAUGCCGCUUAUUGCGUAACCGCCAUUCGAGUCCUACCUAUUAAUCUCGGCUCGUUUGUAAUUAAUGAGCUACAUUCCGCCGGAGAUGUUUUUUUCGUUCUUUUUUGUUUCUCUCCCCGUAUGCGGAAUUGGCACGAUAUGAAACAUAGGUGAACAAGCGAGAGAUUCUAGAAUUAUUAUGUACAACAUAGUAAAGUAUUUAUGCUUACUUGGAAACUGAUACAAAGUACUAUGUAGAUUCGUAUAAGUCAUGGAAACGACCAAUGUAUGCUUAUCAUGAAAGAAGAAAAAACUGAUUUUGAAUCAUCGUUACUUCUGUCGUGCAUUUUUAUGCGUGCCGAUUUUAUUAAUUCACGGAAGUUACAUUGGCAAGGAAACACAGUAAUCAUACACAUUAUACAGUCUUUGUUUUUGCGUGAUUGCGUUUCUUUUUUUGUGCAAAAUGUGGUUGGACUCAUAUGUUCAUACAAAAGUUAAAUAUUCAUGCAAGAAACGUUACAAAGAUGACAAACGUUUAACAAAAUUUUGAUUUCAACAUGUUUCCUUGUUUUCCUUCCUUAGAUUUAUUGCUAGUUUGAGCUUUCAUCUCUAAUUCUAAUUAAUUCUAAUUAAUUGUAUCGAAGACAUAAAACAAUAACAAUGCAUACGAUACCUUCGACGCAAUAUGUACUGCAUUGACUAAAUAUUACAAAUUCACCUUCUUGAGUAUCUUUUAUAGAUGCCGGCGUCCACUUGACUAGGCGAUCCGUUGAUCGCGAUAAAACGGAUUUUUCGUAUCUAUCCGCGGCGGUCUGGCAUAAAUCGCGCUCGGGCGGCUAAUUAAACCGUUGGCUAUCGCGACGAUUAAUCUAUUGACGUUUCCUCUCGGCCACUGGCUUCUUCAUUCUCGCGGUGCUCCUUUUUCGUCGCGUGUCCGUUUCUCUUUUCCCGUACAUCCAAUACGCGCUUACACGCGUUUCAUUAAUGGGAACGUAAUAAACGUUUUCAUCAUUAUAACGAGAACGCAGCCGAGUGAUGGAAACGUAACAGUUAACGGUUGAUUGGACAAUAAGUGCAUAAUAAACAGUUACUAUGACAAUAAUACGAUGAUUCCAUGGCAUUGUGUAAAGACGGAAGAGCAGAGAGGAGAAGAGAGCGAGCCGAGAGAGGCGCGUAUCGACCAGAUGAGGGCCUAAAGUUAAAGUGUAUAUCCGCGCGCGCAACGGCCGCGCUUAUAAAGCCGCAGAAGCGACGAGGAGGUAAGAUCUUCCGUUCGGUUUCCACCGACGUGUUCUAGACGCACUCCUGCACAUGUAUACCGGCUUGUCGAGCGUGAAUAUUUAUGCCCGACCUCUCGCUGCCGCGAUCGCGGCCUAUCCAUGCCGCGGCGAGCCAAGAAAUCCGCUGCAUUCUGGAAAAGAGAUACGGAUUGGUCUGAUUUAUAGUCGCGCGAAUCCGCUCAGCCAGUGUCGCUCAAUCGGCCGGAUACGUGCGAUUUCUGUCGGAAUUUCAUCGGACGAGCGGGCAUCGAUAUCCGCGAUCGGUAAUCGAGAGUGUGGCAGUGAUAUAUGGGAGUACGAGACGGAAAGAACGCGGAAAAGAUGUGACUUAAUAUCUGUUUAAUUCUCAACGAUAUGAAAGGUAAUGCAAGCGUUUGUAAUCUCACAAGAAGCGAGAGCCGGAAGAUUGUUAGCUUUUCAAGAUAAGUGAAUACUCGUAUGAACAGCUAACUCAUUCUGCCCUGUCAUCAUUAAUCUCUCCGCGGCUAAGCUGUCGAUCUUUUGAUAAUCUCUCUUGUGAAUAGACAUGCAUUUUGUAUUUUUGAUAAAUCUGAUCUAUAUCAUAAUCAUGACAGUAUUCUAUCUGUGUAAAUAAGAUUGGAAUAAAUCGCUCUUCUGUUGAUCUGUUACAACUACCACGUUCGUCGCGAUUCGAUAGCAGGAGAUUUAUUAAAUAAAUUGGAAUAUUUGCGCGUCGACCGAGCAUCCCGGAACAAUCGGACUUUUACAGGGGCGAAAUGUCAGUGCGACUGUAAAUCGACUCUCGCCUGUCGUCGUCUCGAAAGCUCGCACAUCCACACGACGCGUCCCACUUUUCCCCCGUGUCGCUCGCUCGCCAGUGAUUUACGUACGACAUUUGUAUGGGACAUCCAUAAAUCGAGUUCUCAUGUUCGCCGAAAAAUCAGUUUGUGCUCCAAUUGACCGCGAACUAUUGAAACAAAUCUGCGAAUACUCCAGUAAAUGUUAUAAUUAAGACAAUCUUAAAAAUUUUUUUAAAAUCAGAGCAUUAGUGCGCUAUAGAAACAAUGGCUUGAAGUUGAAGAAUAUCAACUCACAUGCUGAACAUUAAAAAUUAAUUUUGCGCAAAGAUUUGUCAAUAUCCAAUUAUAUGUCAAUGUCCGACAGGAUUGUAGGUCGCAUAACGUCAAAAAGAUAUUACGCUUUGAAGAUUAGAUGGGUGAUGAACGUAUCACCUAAAAGCAGGACGUGUGGUUGUCUUAGUCAUACCUAAGUAGAAUCGCGAUGAUCGCGAUAUCAUCUCCGCCUCCCUGCGUUCUCCGUGCGUUCUUACGCAACCAUCUCACCUUGCCGCGAAAACGCAAGACAAUGGUCCGACGUGAGACGAACAGCACGAGAGAUAUACCGGAGAUACAGAGAUGAUUCCGUCGAUGUGUCCAACUGCUGGAAACACCACCAUAUUCAAAUACGGAUGCGACAUCUUUCUCUUUCUCGGCGCGGUUCUUUUGAUGAGGACACGCUCGCUAAUGAUUCAUCAGUGGGGCAAAGAACAUGGCGAGUGGCCUGGAGGUAUUCGCGGAUGAUGAAAAAAGACACGACACCGUCGCGGUACUUAAUCGGUCUUCGCGGAAAAAAACAAUUUUCCAGGCCGGGAUUUCCUCGUGCGAGAAUUAUUAGCUUGAUUGUUAUUUAUUCGCUCGACGCAUUUGUGAAAUUAAUGAGAUCGUUAGUCUCGUAAUUUCAACCAUGAAAAUGAUUGAUAUUAUUGUUUGUCGUGUGAAGAAAAAGUUUUUCAGAUGCAUUGUUAUUCUCUUUUGCUCUAGCUGACAUUCUUAUUACAUAUUAAGAAUUGUUACAUCAGAGUAUUCUUAUAUUACGAUUAUAUAAAAUGACGUUAAAUUCGCAUAAUAAUUUAGUAGUAAUUUAAUAUCAGCUUUUUACUUUCUGUUGGAUUUUAAUAUCCAAUACAAGUAAAGAGAUAUUUUCUUAAGAUUACAUUGUUGAAAUUUUUAGAAUACAGCUUUAUAAGUUACGAUUUAAAAUGCGUUGGAGACUGAGACUUAGGAAACAUUUUCGGUAAAGCAAACUAGGAAGGAUAAAUUUGUUAUUGCGAUAAAUUCACGCUUUUAAAACCCACAGGUGCACACGUGUGUCGGCAUCGUCAAAGAUCAGCUAUAACAUUAAGAAAAAGACAAACAAAAACUAAAUCAAGGAAACAACUAGCCGCCGCUCCAUAUAAGAAUCGAUAUAGAUGAAGUAAAAAGACUCGAUGUGUUGAAAUCCGAACAUAUUCGCGUUCUGCCUAACAAAUAUAAGAAAUGCAGUUUUUCUUUCACAAUCUUGCGAUUGCAACGGGCGCUGAUGUAGCAGAUUAUUGGAAAUUAUUCACGGAGUAUGUAACUGCCAUUAUAGAACGUUAUCGACGUACGGAAUGAAGUUGCACGAAGGAAAAUUGAAAUGUGCUGAUCGGUGAAAGUACUUCGGGUAACCAGUUAUGCGGCAGGAUAGAUUAACCCUACGAGAUGUGCGUUGUACAAUUUUUAUUUGUGGCCGAUUGACGUAACAGCUAGUAUAGCGAUUCUCGUUUGCUUCAAAAGCGCAUAUAAUCAUGCAAAGCUGUUCAAAUCGGUGCUUGAUCGUACAAUUCCGUGCGCGAAACACAAUGUGACUUCAAUUUAAAACGUUAGGAUGUUAAGAGAAGGAUGUCAAGAGAAGGAUGUCCUGCGCCCAACAUAUCGAAAAUUUAAAUUCACUACGUAGGUUAAUCGAAGGAAGACAACGACAGCUCGUCCGGCACCUCUUGAGCGAUUAUUCAUUCGCUGGUCCUUUCUUUAUCUUUCUCUCUUGCUUCUGCCAUUGUUACCGUCGUGUAGGCUCAAUAGAAUCAGCAAACAAUUUAUUACGCCUACUCCUCGGAGCGCAUCUACGCGUUUAUCAACGAUCGCUUGGUGCUCCUUGUGAACGAUCACUUCUUCAAGUCGAGCCUCUGAAGACAGAACAGCAAAUGCUGAUUCUGAAGUCCUCUUCUUUCGCGUGAGCACAUGUCCACCCGCGUUAGUACAUGCCUGCGUUAAAAAUAUUUUAUUUUAACGAAUACCGAUUAACAUGGACAUGUUUUAUUAUUCGAUUAUUCGAUCGAUAUCAAUCAAAUAUCAAUAUCUCAUUAAUGUAAUAGUUUUAAAAUUAAAAUACCGCUAGCGGUAUUCACGAAAGUGUACUUAUAUAUAUAAGUUUCAAAGAUUUAUUGAAAAUAUUGUUUAUUAGAAAUUUCUCCGUAAAACAUUUCCUAUGCGAUGUUUUUUUUAAACAUUAAUGCCUAUCUAUGGACUUUAACUUGAGAAGAUAGUGCUAGCAGCGUAAUAACGAUAAUAGCAAAUUCGAACGACACGUAUUGCCGUUUGCAGCAAUGAUCAUAUGCGUAACGCGCGAGUAAAUGAUACAAAUCAGCUCUAUGAUUGACGCGACUUCAUGACAGUAUGCUUCCUCUUUCGUGCAAGAUGCGAGAUUUAUGUAUGCAUAAGCAACGAAACCAGUUUUAAUCAUACUCACGAUGCUAUUAUACGGAGAAAUCCUUAACCGGGGAGAGAGGGCGGAAUUUGGAAUGAGAUGAUUACAGCGGUUCCCGUAUAAUGAUCUCGCGUAAUAAUCCGCAAUGAGUAUGCGGAUUAUAUUAGCAAGUGCAAGAUGUAAUAUUUAGAUACGUUCUUUUCGUUGAUCGACACUCUCAUCUUUAAUAUCAACUUAUAUCGAUUAUCUCAUAUCUUGGAAAGAUUUGCCGUUUCCCAUUAUUACACUUUUUAACCUUUGUUCAUAACGCAAACGAAAUAGAAAAAUUGUAAUAAUCAAGACGAAGGCACGCAACUUACGAAUACGUUCUUACGAGCUUACCACCGUGAUAACAACAGCUAGAUUUCUGAUAACGCCCGUUUUGUGCUUGCAUCCCUCUCACCAACGUUAAAGAUGGGAUUGCUUAAUUCUCAGAAGAGCUCGUGUUCACGAUAAAUCUCAGACGCGCGUUAAUAAAUGAACAAUCGCGAAUCUAGACCGACGAUAAGUUCGCCCGCCCGCGCUCCCGCACGCACGCACGUCCACACAUAUACACGCGAGUGUGUACGUGUACAUACCCACCGAAAGAUUUCUAGGGCGAUAAAAUCUCGCGAGCGAGGAGCCCAUGUCCCGUAACUAUCUGCCGGUACCGUCUACGUUUUCGUGAGCUAGCAGGCCUUUAAAGCGAGGACGGCGGAGGAGAACUUGUGAACGGGUACGACAUUUUCCACGAGAACGAGCUGCGCCUUGCUAACUUGCCCGAGUAAAAGCGUGAAAUUACCGGCAACCGGGGUAAAAUUACACUCCUCCCUCCCAUCUCCUCCCCGGCCGCCUCUUCCUCGCGCAUCUUCCACCGCGCUCAUCGCCGUGUCGUCUCUUUUUCUUUCCCCAACAUCCAGCUGGCAGAACCCGCUCGAAAAUUGCAUGUGCCCGCUAUGCGCCGAAGAGUACUUCGGAUAAUGCGGCUGCGGCUUACGGGUCCUGCUCCUCGCAGCUUGUGUAUGAUGCGUGCAUGUGCGUCCGCUCGAUGGGAAUUUGUGCAUGCUAGCGUACGACGCUGCGUGCUCUGUCUCGGAACGCUCGACGUGACAAGAUCAGAUCUUACGGUAGUACAGUCAUAAUCCGGGACAGCGACUCGUUAAUCAACGGAAGAUGGGAUUUCAUUGGACCGCGUGUUCCGCGCGAGAUCGACAAAAGUGAGGACUAUAAAUCUUCCGUUAUCCUUGCUUCAGUUUCGUAAGAAACGAUCGCACGCUAUAUGCGAAUGCGGAAGCGCGCUUACGACGGACGCGACGCAUCGUGACGCGUUUUUCUUGCCACCUAUCUGGCUGUGCGCUGUCGCAUCUGUCAAAGCGUUAACGCUAAAAACCCAGGACGAGUUUAUAUAAGAAAGAACACCACUGAAAGCUGUGUCGAACGCGAGUGUUUCCAGCCGUUACCGGGGGUAUGCGCCUGGAAAGUGCAGCGGUACACACGCGCUCAACACAAUGUACCGUUCCAUCAUCUAACCGUAAGCCCGUAACACGUGAAACCGCAACGCGUUGCAUACGAAUCUCUGCUCCAUCAUCAUUUACGGCCUGUGUCAUCGUGCCGCAUCUCUCCGAAUUCUAACUUGACUCCGCGCACUCCGCUUCGUCUUCAGACACGCUCCGUCCACCGCCGCGCUGUCCGCUUCAGUCAUUCAGCGCGCAAAACGUGAAAUCUAGAUCUAGGCGCGCGUAAUGCGCCUCCGCAUUGAUUCCUAGAAACGUAAAUCCUCCCGUAACGUUCCGCCGACACUUUAAAAUGUAAAUUCCGUGCCAGCAGCGCGCGGCAACUUCCGGCCGACCGCGUCCGUCGAUCGGGCGAUCGGGCCGCGCGCGAAGCGGGUUAGUAUACCGCGAUCAUCGCGAUCAAAUGGAAACGUUUCUCUUCCACGUAGCGGCGCGUAUGCUAAUGAUCGCCGGGAUUUCCCGGCGGUGAGAUCGCGGAUCCCACGCGGAUCCCGCGCGGACGAGAUAAGACUUUAUCUCCUGGUGCGUCAUAUUACGACUUACGCGCGGCGCACCGGUGCGCGUACAGGCGCAUCGAUGCGCGCUGCCGCGGUGUACGCGCGUGAUAUAACGCACCAUCCUCGCCAGAAGGGAAUCUACUUCAUCAUCCUGCGGCCGCGCGGUAGCACGGCGCGAUGUCACUCGCUCUCGCCGAGUUUCCGUCCGUUUUAUUGUAACGUACUUACUGCUGUAAACACGAGUCGGUCUGCUGGUCUGCCGCUGCUGCUGCUGCUUCUGCUGCUGCUGCUGUUGCUGCACGCUUUUUGCACGCGGCAUUUGCAUACGCGGCCGUGCAUCAGAAGCGCAGGACGGUUCGACGCGAUUCGCGAUUGCAGAUAAAUCUCCGGGGCCGAUGGCGACUUGCUCUUCCGGCUUGCGAAAUGCCACAAACUCCUUUGAUAGCGAUGAGCUCUCUCUCUCUGUCCUUUUUUCUUCACGUUUCCCUCUUUCUUUCUCUCGUACUUUUUUCAAGUGUGAUUUAGAGUGAUUUAGCUUUGAACGCGCCACAUCCGCUUGCGAGGAUCGAUUAUUGCGGAAUUUUUAUUGGUGGCACGUGAAUCUACUAAUACGCGACUCGAUAUUCUUUGACGAUCUCGUGUCCGGUUGCGGUGGCGCGAAAUUUUUCCUGCUAGAUAGGUGUAAAGUCCGAUAAUUCUCGUUAUUGUUUGUGAACGUAAUAAUUGUCUUAGAUUCCUGCUGAGUUUCCCGAUGUGCUCGUAAUUGCUAUGAAAUGUAUAUUUUCCAUUCUCCUAACACAAUGGUUUUCCGUUUGAAAAGUCAUUGUGUUUCGAAGUUUUAUAAGACAUUAUGCACGAUAGAAAUAUCGCUGAAGUCAUUUACUUCGUACGGCGCCUGCGUAUCUAUCACGUAUAUUUAAGCGUGCUCCUGUCCAAUUCCACAAAGAGAAGAAAGACUGCUUGGAUGACCGGUAUACAAUGGAUAAUGAAUGGGUGCGAAUAAAUGUGCGUGCAUUAAACGUUUCGCGGUAACAUUAGUUCCGCCGUUUCCUCGCGGCGUAUCUUACACCUGUUCAUUCGCGCUAACUCGCGUUCCUACUUUCCUAGCUGCACAUGCACAGAUGAAGACGUAAAAGACUCGCCUUUUGCGCGAUCCGCCUGUGCAUCGAACUGCGUUCGCUUUCGUGGAAGCUAAAGUCCUUUUAGGUGACCGGGAGGAGCCUGGCUUCGCGCUCCGCUGGACCGCGCGCGAGAGCAUUUCUAGACUUUUACGGAAAUCUGACGGCAACAUUGCGUGCGCCAUGUACAGGCGCUCGGUGGCGAACGACCCGACCUAAACCAUAAA